rnacentral:rRNA from 1 species
UUGACGGGGCCCGCACAAGCGGUGGAGCAUGUGGUUUAAUUCGAUGCAACGCGAAGAACCUUACCUGGUCUUGACAUCCACGGAAGUUUUCAGAGAUGAGAAUGUGCCUUCGGGAACCGUGAGACAGGUGCUGCAUGGCUGUCGUCAGCUCGUGUUGUGAAAUGUUGGGUUAAGUCCCGCAACGAGCGCAACCCUUAUCCUUUGUUGCCAGCGGUCCGGCCGGGAACUCAAAGGAGACUGCCAGUGAUAAACUGGAGGAAGGUGGGGAUGACGUCAAGUCAUCAUGGCCCUUACGACCAGGGCUACACACGUGCUACAAUGGCGCAUACAAAGAGAAGCGACCUCGCGAGAGCAAGCGGACCUCAUAAAGUGCGUCGUAGUCCGGAUUGGAGUCUGCAACUCGACUCCAUGAAGUCGGAAUCGCUAGUAAUCGUGGAUCAGAAUGCCACGGUCGAAUACGUUCCGGGCCUU